UUUUUUUAAGAUUUUAUUUAUUUAUUUAUUUAUUUAUUUAUUUAUUUAUUUAUUUAUUUAUUUAGAGAAAGAGAGAGAGCACAUGAGCAAGGGGAGAGACAGAGGGAGAGGGAGAAGCAGGCUCCGCAUGGAGCAGGAGCCCGAUUUGGGACUCCAUUCUGGGACCCAGGGAUCAUGACCUGAGCUGAAGGCAGAUGCUUAACAGACUGAGCCACUCAGGCACCCAUACAGGGUUCUGCUUUCAAUGAAGUUUCCCAAGAGUCUCAAUCUUCUUUGGUUCAUAUGAAAAUAUUUUCUUUUCUUUUAUUUUUUUUAUUAUUAUUUAUUGAUGAUAGUCACAGAGAGAGAGAGAGAGGCAGAGACACAGGCAGAGGGAGAAGCAGGCUCCAUGCACCGGGAGCCCGAUGUGGGAUUCGAUCCCGAGUCUCCAGGAUCGCGCCCUGGGCCAAAGGCAGGCGCCGAACUGCUGCACCACCCAGGGAUCCCUGAAAAUAUUUUCUUUUAAAGGAAUCUGAAUGUAACUCACAUGGGAGAAGCACUGCUGCAACUAGCUAUGGUGUGUGGUGAGACUUGGUGCCCUGGGAGUGUCCGGUGUUGUGCCUCAGGAUGUGGGGGAGGCCGAGGAGAAGCCACAGUCCUGCUGUCCCUCGGGACAGGAAGGAAGAGAACAGACACUCGGCUUGCUGGAUCCCAGAGAGCGUGGUCCACAUUCUGAGGGAAAGGAUCCCCGUGACAACACCUUGCAGUCCCAGAAGAGGGCAGAGAUGACUCGCACCUGAGGAACCCAGGUGUUGGGAGCUCCACCUCCUCAAAGCCACGAAGCACUUCUGCACCACAGGAGUCUCGGUGGGCAAACUGUCUCGGUCACCUAGAGGUCAGGGAAACAUGGUGAUUUGGAGACACAAAUGUCAGACAGUAGGCAGAGUCAUGGCCUGCCCCCCAUCAACCGUGGAAGGCCUUAUUUGUUCACCCAUUCAACAAGUAUUUGCAGAGGCCAGAUCUGGACCAGGCACGGGUGCUUGGGAUUCGUUAGCAAACAAAACAGGCAAGGGCCUCGAGCUCACAGAGCUUCCAUUCCAGCGAGGACGAGGGGACAGAUGCAGCCUCACCCAAAGUUCCAUAGAGAACCCAGCCCUGCCGCCAUCCCACCCAUCUCCUUGAGCAGACAGGUCAACAGUUGCAAGCUAUUUACCCAACUGGAUCUUCCAAACAUGUCCAGAAC
rnacentral:lncRNA from 1 species